UAGACAUUGCAAAAGAGUUCUUUCACUUGCCUAGCAAAGAGAAGAUGCAAUUUGCUUCAGCUAAUGUUCGUGAGCCUGUUAGAUAUGGCACUAGUAUGAAUCAUGGGACAGAUAAGAUGUUUUUUUGGAGAGAUUUCAUCAAGCAUUAUGCAAAUCCCAUCUCAGAAUGGAUCCAAUUAUGGCCUUCAAACCCUCCAACUUACAGGUAAAACUACCAAUACACAUUCUUCUAUAACACAAAAGAAUACGAGUCUAUAAACUACAUCCAUGCUAUAAAAUUUGAGGUCGACUGGAACAUAUAUUGACAAUAUUUAUUGGUUUUGAGUGUUUUACUAACCUUAGUGACUUAAUUUGUGCAGAGAAAAAAUGGGAAGCUAUGCAAAAGCAGUGCACAUAUUGCAAAAGCAAUUAAUGGCAAUAGUUCUUGAAAACCUAGGCUUGAAUGCAAACUACUUGCAUGAUGAGAUUGAAAAAGGUUCUCAAGCCAUAACUGUAAACUGCUACCCACCAUGCCCAAAACCAGAUCUUACACUCGGGAUCCCACCACACUCGGAUUAUGGAACCCUAACAAUCCUAAACCAAAACCAACAAGGACUCCAAAUCAUGGACAAAGAUAGAAAAUGGCACUCUGUACCAUUUAUACAAGGAGCAUUAACAGUUCAAUUAGGAGAUCAAAUUGAAGUGAUGAGCAAUGGUAGAUACAAGAGUACUUUUCAUCGAGCAACUGUGAACAACAAGAGGAAUCGAUUAUCGAUUGCUAGUCUUCAUAGUCUGCCAAUCGAGAAGAAGGUAGGGCCCGCACCACAGCUCGUUGAUGAACAGUAUCCCAUAGCCUACAGAGAGGGAAGCUUUGGUGAAUUUCUUGAUCAUAUCUCUAAGAAAUGUCUAUCAGAAACUAGGUACAUAGACACAUUGAGAAUUCUGUGAAAGAUGAUAUGGUUUCAGAACAAUAUGAGCAUGUAUCAAGCAACUCCCCAUACACCUCCUGUUAUCGUGGUUACUUUAGAAUAUGAAAUUAACGAAGAUAUCCAACAUGUUUGUAAAAGAAUAAGCAUAUAUAAUGCAUAUCUAGCAUUCGUUUAAAAUGUCCUACUAAUUGGUAGCUUACUUCGUCUAUAAUCUAUUUACAUAAAGAUUUUGUUUGUCCUCAGUGAUAUCAUUCGGUGCAUAUAUGCCUAGCAAACUUCCUGUACUAUUACAUUAAUCAGAGUAAUUUUAAUCAUUCCAUCAGUGCAUAUUCUGCUUUCUAGCACGAGAUCUAGUUAUAAUUAAUUGUUUCCAAGUAAUUUAAUAUACCUAUUUAGCUAAUCGCGGCGUAAUCACUUUAUCGCAAUUCUUUUAGAAGAUCUUAUAUUAAUCAAAAAGAGGCUGAUCUGGACUAUGAAUCAGUUUCAGUCAACCAUAAUACAUCUGAAAGUUUAGAUAUCAAAAUCUAGAUCAUAACUACCAAAAUUGAUUCGAUUCGUUUGAAAAACUUUAGCUAAAAAACUAGAAGUCAGAUUAAGAUCUUACAAAAGAAGCGUUCGGAAUUAUAAGAUAUGAUGAUGGAUAACUUACACAGAGCUACGUUAUUAACGUUAAUCAUGCAUAUUCUCUGUGCUGCCUCCGGCGACUGCUUCUCACGCGCAGCCGCCUUGAGUGUCAAAUCGUUAUUUGGCAAGAAACACCUGUCAUUAGCCAUGACGAUGGCUCGAAUGGGUCCCGCAGUUGCAUAUCAUAUCUUCGGAAGAUCGAGAAGCUUAAUGGGGC
rnacentral:lncRNA from 1 species